CAGCCGCCGCGGGAAUACGUAGGGUCCGAGCGUUGUCCGGAAUUAUUGGGCGUAAAGGGCUCGUAGGCGGUUUGUUGCGUCGGGAGUGAAAACCCAGGGCUUAACUUUGGGCUUGCUUUCGAUACGGGCAGACUUGAGGCAUUGAGGGGAGAACGGAAUUCCUGGCGUAGCGGUGAAAUGCGCAGAUAUCAGGAGGAACACCGGUGGCGAAGGCGGUUCUCUGGCAAUGUUCUGACGCUGAGGAGCGAAAGUGUGGGGAGCGAACAGGAUUAGAUACCCCCGUAGUCCCUGUCUCUUAUAA
rnacentral:rRNA from 1 species